rnacentral:rRNA from 1 species
AUUUAAAUUUUUAUUAAUUUAUUUUUUUUUUAUUAUAUUAAUUAAAAUAUUAUAAUUUUUAUUAUUUAAUGAAAAAUUUAAUUUUAUUAUAGUAUAUUAGUACUGAAAAGGAAUAUUUUAAAAUUUUAAAAAGAAAAUUUAUUUUGUACCUUGUGCAUCAGGGUUUAUUAAAUAAUAUUUAAAAAUUUAAAUUUCUCGAAUUUAAAAGAGCUAAGAUUUUAUAAAUUUUAUUGUGGCAUAAAUAUUUAAAAUAAAAUUUUAGUAAUGAAAUGUUAUUCGUUUUUAAAUAUAUCUAGUUUUUUAAGAAAAAAAUUUAAUUUUUUUAUUAAGUUUAAUUUAUUUAUUUUUUAAUCAAAUUAAUUUAAUAAUUAAUAAAUUAAGGGAUAAGCUUUAGUUUAAAUUUUUAUAAUUUUAUUAAAUUUAAUAAUUUAUAGGAUUGAAAAUUUCUAUUAAUAAAAAUUUAUUAAAAUUUAUUAUUUAAAAAAUAUUAUUUUUAUAAAAUUUAAUUUUUUUAUUAAAAUUAAAAAAUUAAUUUAUAAUUUUUUGUAAUAAUGAUAAAAUUAGUAUUAUAUAUAUAUACAUAUAUAUAUAUAUAUAUAUAUAUAUAUAUAUAUAGUUAAGAUUAAAUAUAGUAAUUCGGCAAAUAUAUUUUUCACCUGUUUAUUAAAAACAUCUCUUUUUGAAUAUAAUUUAAAGUAGGGCCUGCCCACUGAAUAUUUUAAAGGGCCGCAGUAUUUUGACUGUGCAAAGGUAGCAUAAUCAUUAGUUUUUUAAUUGAAAGCUUGUAUGAAUGGUUUGAUGAAAAAAUAACUUUCUUUAUUUAAAGUUUUAAAAAUUUUAUUUUUAAGUUAAAAAGCUUAAAUUUUUUUAAUAGACGAGAAGACCCUAUAGAGUUUUAUUUAUUUUUUUUAUUUAAAUUUUUGGAAUUCUAUAAUUUUUAUUUAAAAAUAAAUUUGAUUGGGGUGAUUUAAAAAUUUAAUAAACUUUUUUUAUAUUUUUCCAUUAAUUUAUGAAUAUAUGAUCCAUAUAAAUGAUUAAAAGAUUAAAUUACCUUAGGGAUAACAGCGUUAUUUUUUUUUAGAGUUCUUAUCGAAAAAAAAGAUUGCGACCUCGAUGUUGGAUUAAAAUAAAUUUUAGGUGUAGAAGCUUAAAUAUUUGGUCUGUUCGACCAUUAAAAUUUUACAUGAUCUGAGUUUAAACCGGUGUGAGCCAGGUUGGUUUCUAUCUUUAAUUAAUUAAUAAUUUUUAGUACGAAAGGACCAAAAUUAUAAUUUAAAAUUUUUUUAUUGAAUAAAAAU